GCCCAGACUCCUACGGGAGGCAGCAGUGAGGAAUAUUGGUCAAUGGGCGGGAGCCUGAACCAGCCAAGUCGCGUGAGGGAAGACGGUCCUACGGAUUGUAAACCUCUUUUGCCGGGGAGCAACGGGGUCCUUGCGAGGGCCCAAUGAGAGUACCCGGAGAAAAAGCAUCGGCUAACUCCGUGCCAGCAGCCGCGGUAAUACGGAGGAUCCGAGCGUUAUCCGGAUUUAUUGGGUUUAAAGGGUGCGUAGGCGGCCUUUUAAGUCAGCGGUGAAAGUCUGUGGCUCAACCAUAGAAUUGCCGUUGAAACUGGGGGGCUUGAGUAUGUUUGAGGCAGGCGGAAUGCGUGGUGUAGCGGUGAAAUGCAUAGAUAUCACGCAGAACCCCGAUUGCGAGGGCGGCCUGCCAGGCCAUGACUGACGCUGAUGCACGAAAGCGUGGGGAUCGAACAGGAUUAGAUACCCCGGUAUU
rnacentral:rRNA from 1 species